GGGGGCAGUUUAGACGCCAAGAGGAUCCAUCAGGAUCCUUGUCACAUCCAAGCGCGAUCACUUCACCCUGAUGAAUGUUUGAGAGGUGGGGAGGGGGAGGAGGCUGACACACACACACGUCAGCUGUCUCCUUGUUGCCCCCCCCCCCCCCCUGCCCCCAAUCACUUUGGGGCCGGCCUCAUCGUCUUGGGAAGCGCUCCCGAUGGCGUAUGCGGCACCGUUGUGUGCCGUUUUAACCGACGCGGAGGUGUUGAGAAUUACAUCGUGACGGUGGUGCGAUUAAGAGAUGAAUGAAUGAAUGAAUGAACGCCCGGCGACCGAAUGCACGGCCCGUCACUGGUGUGCGCAUGUCAAUCCGAAACAUGUCAAAACUAUUAGCUCGUUUCACGCUCAAUCUCACCCGAUUAUGACUGACCCGGAGGUUUGCGUGCGUGCGUGCGUGGACAUCCGGCGUGUGUGUUCCUCCGACGUGUGUAAUUGGAUUUCCGGACGAGGUGAAGCCGUCGUGAACUGGGGGUGGACGGACGGGAAGAUCGGGUUUCCUGCUUCUACGCUCCCCGCGCCCGGCCUCGGGUUUAAAA